rnacentral:rRNA from 1 species
GCUCAGAUAUGACGAUGGACAUUGCAAAGAGUGGCGAACGGGUGAGUAACACGUGGGAAACCUACCUCUUAGCAGGGGAUAACAUUUGGAAACAGAUGCUAAUACCGUAUAACAAUGACAACCGCAUGGUUGUUAUUUAAAAGAUGGUUCUGCUAUCACUAAGAGAUGGUCCCGCGGUGCAUUAGCUAGUUGGUAAGGUAAUGGCUUACCAAGGCGAUGAUGCAUAGCCGAGUUGAGAGACUGAUCGGCCACAAUGGGACUGAGACACGGCCCAUACUCCUACGGGAGGCAGCAGUAGGGAAUCUUCCACAAUGGGCGAAAGCCUGAUGGAGCAACGCCGCGUGUGUGAUGAAGGGUUUCGGCUCGUAAAACACUGUUGUAAGAGAAGAAUGACAUUGAGAGUAACUGUUCAAUGUGUGACGGUAUCUUACCAGAAAGGAACGGCUAAAUACGUGCCAGCAGCCGCGGUAAUACGUAUGUUCCAAGCGUUAUCCGGAUUUAUUGGGCGUAAAGCGAGCGCAGACGGUUAUUUAAGUCUGAAGUGAAAGCCCUCAGCUCAACUGAGGAAUUGCUUUGGAAACUGGAUGACUUGAGUGCAGUAGAGGAAAGUGGAACUCCAUGUGUAGCGGUGAAAUGCGUAGAUAUAUGGAAGAACACCAGUGGCGAAGGCGGCUUUCUGGACUGUAACUGACGUUGAGGCUCGAAAGUGUGGGUAGCAAACAGGAUUAGAUACCCUGGUAGUCCACACCGUAAACGAUGAGUGCUAGGUGUUUGAGGGUUUCCGCCCUUAAGUGCCGCAGCUAACGCAUUAAGCACUCCGCCUGGGGAGUACGACCGCAAGGUUGAAACUCAAAGGAAUUGACGGGGACCCGCACAAGCGGUGGAGCAUGUGGUUUAAUUCGAAGCAACGCGAAGAACCUUACCAGGUCUUGACAUCCCUUGACAACUCCAGAGAUGGAGCGUUCCCUUCGGGGACAAGGUGACAGGUGGUGCAUGGUUGUCGUCAGCUCGUGUCGUGAGAUGUUGGGUUAAGUCCCGCAACGAGCGCAACCCUUAUUACUAGUUGCCAGCAUUCAGUUGGGCACUCUAGUGAGACUGCCGGUGACAAACCGGAGGAAGGUGGGGAUGACGUCAAAUCAUCAUGCCCCUUAUGACCUGGGCUACACACGUGCUACAAUGGCGUAUACAACGAGUUGCCAACCCGCGAGGGUGAGCUAAUCUCUUAAAGUACGUCUCAGUUCGGAUUGUAGGCUGCAACUCGCCUACAUGAAGUCGGAAUCGCUAGUAAUCGCGGAUCAGCACGCCGCGGUGAAUACGUUCCCGGGUCUUGUACACACCGCCC